rnacentral:rRNA from 1 species
UCGAGCGGCAAGUUGAGUAGUAAUACUUGACCUAGAGCGGCGCACGGGUGCGUAACGCGUAUGCAACCUACCUUUUACUGGGGGAUAGCCCGGAGAAAUCUGGAUUAAUACCCCAUGGUAUCUACGAAUCGAAUGUUUUGUAGCUUAAAGAUUUAUCGGUAAAAGAUGGGCAUGCGUCUGAUUAGCUAGUUGGCGGGGUAACGGCCCACCAAGGCGACGAUCAGUAGGGGUUCUGAGAGGAAGGUCCCCCACACUGGCACUGAGAUACGGGCCAGACUCCUACGGGAGGCAGCAGUAGGGAAUAUUGGGCAAUGGUCGCAAGACUGACCCAGCCAUGCCGCGUGCAGGAAGACGGCCCUCUGGGUUGUAAACUGCUUUUAUCUGGGAAGAAAAAGUCCAUGCGUGGAAAAUUGCCGGUACCAGAUGAAUAAGCACCGGCUAACUCCGUGCCAGCAGCCGCGGUAAUACGGAGGGUGCAAGCGUUGUCCGGAUUUAUUGGGUUUAAAGGGUGCGUAGGCGGCUGAAUAAGUCAGCGGUGAAAGACUUCGGCUUAACCGGAGCAGUGCCGUUGAUACUGUUUGGCUUGAGUGUUGGAGGGGUACAUGGAAUUGAUGGUGUAGCGGUGAAAUGCAUAGAUACCAUCAGGAACACCGAUAGCGAAGGCAUUGUACUGGCCAACAACUGACGCUGAGGCACGAAAGUGUGGGGAUCGAACAGGAUUAGAUA